rnacentral:rRNA from 1 species
GUCUAUGGCCAUGCCACCCUGAACAAGCCCAAUCCCAUCUGAUCUUGGAAGCUAAGCAGGGUCGGGCCUGGUUAGUACUUGGAUGGGAGACCACCUAGGAAGACAAGGCACUGCAGGUA